rnacentral:misc_RNA from 1 species
GUUCUCUUGCAGUCGCAUACCAGGUGAGUUUGUCACCCAUCACCCAUGAAGAAAAAUAAGACGCAACAUACAUGGGUUCUAACUUAUAUUCAUGCAACUAAUAUUUGUCUCCCUAGUCAACUAUAUAAUCACAUAAUGAAUAUGAACAUUAAAGAUUAGUUCACGGUCUAUAUGUGGAAACAAAUAGUUCCACAACUUGUUUGUAAUGAGAGUCUCCAAAAAUUAAGAACCAAGCCAAACUUGCACACACAAAUGCUCACCUUUUGUUACACCUUAAAAAAGGCUUGUAAGGCUCUUCUAUAUACCAUUCAAAGUGUGCCAACCUUCUUGCCAAAUGAUGCAUUUCUUCUUGCAUUACAGAUCCAAUGUACAUGACUUUUGAGUUUUGCCACCUUUUUAGCAAUGUAUAUGACUUUUGGAUUUUAAGUCUAAU